CACGUAGGCACCAAGCGUUGUCCGGAUUUAUUGGGCGUAAAGAGCUCGUAGGCGGUUCAGUAAGUCGGGUGUGAAAACUCUGAGCUUAACCCAGAGCCGCCACUCGAUACUGCUGUGACUUGAGUUCGGUAGGGGAGCGGGGAAUUCCUAGUGUAGCGGUGAAAUGCGCAGAUAUUAGGAGGAACACCGGUGGCGAAGGCGCCGCUCUGGGCCGAUACUGACGCUGAGGCACGAAAGCGUGGGGAGCAAACAGG
rnacentral:rRNA from 1 species